rnacentral:misc_RNA from 1 species
AACUCUCUUCCCAUCAGUUGAUGGGAGACUUGUCGGUUGUGCCCACAUCUCGGGGGUACUCUGAUCAAAUCCAGUAGGUCUGGAUCAGGCUGGUGGUCUGGGACACUAUGUGCUAGAGGCGUCGCGUCGGUUGACUGUCUUCUCAUAGUGCGUCCUAGGCUGUUUAAGCUGGGCUGAUCAAGCCUCUACAGUCGGUACCGUACUUUGGUAUGCAUGCUGACAAACCCCCCU